rnacentral:rRNA from 1 species
CAGUCGCCACGGUAAUACGUAGGUCCCGAGCGUCGUCCGGAUUUAUUGGGCGUAAAGGGAGCGCAGGCGGUUUAGUAAGUCUGAAGUUAAAGGCAUUGGCUCAACCAAUGUAUGCAUUGGAAACUGGGAGACUUAGAGUGCAGAAGAGGAGAGUGGAAUUCCAUGUGUAGCGGUGAAAUGCGUAGAUGUAUGGAGGAACACCAGUGGCGAAGGCGACUCUCUGGUCUGUAACUGACGCUGAGGCGCGAAAGCGUGGGGAGCAAACAGGAUUAGAUACCCGCGUAGUCCCUGUCUCUUAUAC